rnacentral:rRNA from 1 species
GACGAACGCUGGCGGCGUGCUUAACACAUGCAAGUCGAACGGAAAGGCCCUGCUUUUGUGGGGUGCUCGAGUGGCGAACGGGUGAGUAACACGUGAGUAACCUGCCCUUGACUUUGGGAUAACUUCAGGAAACUGGGGCUAAUACCGGAUAUGAGCUCCAGCUGCAUGGUGGGGGUUGGAAAGUUUCGGCGGUUGGGGAUGGACUCGCGGCUUAUCAGCUUGUUGGUGGGGUAGUGGCUUACCAAGGCUUUGACGGGUAGCCGGCCUGAGAGGGUGACCGGCCACAUUGGGACUGAGAUACGGCCCAGACUCCUACGGGAGGCAGCAGUGGGGAAUAUUGCACAAUGGGCGGAAGCCUGAUGCAGCAACGCCGCGUGCGGGAUGACGGCCUUCGGGUUGUAAACCGCUUUCGCCUGUGACGAAGCGUGAGUGACGGUAAUGGGUAAAGAAGCACCGGCUAACUACGUG